rnacentral:rRNA from 1 species
CACGUAGGGGGCGAGCGUUGUCCGGAUUUAUUGGGCGUAAAGAGCUCGUAGGUGGUUCGGUAAGUCGGGUGUGAAACCUCCAGGCUCAACCUGGAGACGCCACCCGAUACUGCUGUGACUAGAGUCCAGUAGGGGAGCGUGGAAUUCCUGGUGUAGCGGUGAAAUGCGCAGAUAUCAGGAGGAACACCAGUGGCGAAGGCGACUCGCUGGACUGAUACUGACGCUGAGGUGCGAAAGCGUGGGGAGCAAACAGG